UACGUAGGGUGCAAGCGUUAAUCGGAAUUACUGGGCGUAAAGCGUGCGCAGGCGGUUUUGUAAGUCUGACGUGAAAUCCCCGGGCCUCAACCUGGGAACUUGCGUUGGAGACUGCAAGGCUAGAGUUUGGCAGAGGGGGGUAGAAUUCCACGUGUAGCAGUGAAAUGCGUAGAUAUGUGGAGGAACACCGAUGGGCGAACGGC
rnacentral:rRNA from 1 species